AUGAUAAAAAUAUUUUUGCAUUAUAUAUGUUUGAUAUGCUAUGAUUCAGACAAAGCAAAAUAGUUUUAUAUUUAAUUAUAUUUUGAUCGUGUUGGCUUGUAAUUGGUAGUAUGAUGGAUGCAUGUAUGUGUAUAACUUAUACCUGCAUAAUUGAAUUUAUGAAUGUGGUGGUAUGGACUAACCAUGUUAUAUUGGUUGCCCUGUCACGGGCCGGAAACGUGACCAUGGUUAGUCUAGGCCGGAUAUAAGAUGGAAAAGAAUUGAUGUGUGUAUGUGAAUUGGUUAAAUGAGUAGAAACUUUGAGCUUAUCUCGUUAGUAUUGAUUGCCCCAUCACAGGCUGGAAAUGUGAUAGUAUCGAUUGCCCCGUCACAGGCCGGAAAUGUGAUAUUAUCGAUUGCCCCGUCAC
rnacentral:lncRNA from 1 species